CUAGUAAUGUGUAAAUGAUGUAUACAGAUACCUGUUCAAUUCUGUUAAAUUAUGACGCUGGCCCUUUAAGAUUUCGGUGGGUGAGAUCUCAUUCGCGAGUCAGUCUCGUGAGAGUUAGAGCUGAAGUAGUGCGGUUAACAGAGUGUGUAUUGCAUCAUCAGUGCUUUGGAAAUAUACAACUAAUAUUAGGAUAAAACACCAAAAGGGUGAAAAAUAUUCAGUUGUAUUAGCCCAAUAUUGACUUGGUGAAAAGUGCAUCGAUGUGAUUGAGUUGUGAUGUAUGACAAUUGAUGACAAAUGAUCGUGAUCCAUGUGAAGUGUUUCUCCUCGUGUCAAAAACACGAUUUGUUGACUAAUCAUAAAGCAGGGGAGAAAGAAAAGUGCUUUAUAGGCCAUCUGAUAAAAACACCAAAAGGGUGAAAAAUAUUCAGUUGUAUUAGCCCAAUAUUGACUUGGUGAAAAGUGCAUCGAUGUGAUUGAGUUGUGAUGUAUGACAAUUGAUGACAAAUGAUCGUGAUCCAUGUGAAGUGUUUCUCCUCGUGUCAAAAACACGAUUUGUUGACUAAUCAUAAAGCAGGGGAGAAAGAAAAGUGCUUUAUAGGCCAUCUGUGAGAUCCAAAUUGUGUUCAUCAGUACAGAAGAGUCUAAAGUCCACUACCGUUGUUUUUUUUGUUAUCCUAAAAAAACCACAUUUAUGUAUUUUUGCUUUGUUUUUGUGCUUUUGCAAAAUUCAUAGAUUUAACAGGGGAAGCUAAUUCCAGUUUUUUUUUGUCUUUUACAUUUAUUUUUGUCCUGCUCUGGUUUCUAAAACAUUUUCAACCCCAAAAAGCCAAAGCUAUUGUUAAUGCUGUGUCCCUAUGGUCACAGUCGGAAAUAAAAGACCCUUAAUUUAAGUUUGCCUGUGUUUUGGACCUUUCAUUCUUUUGAAAGCAAGCGGUCAGCCGGCAACAUAUAUAUAAAUAUUAUUAUAAAUAUAUUAUAAAUGUGUAUAUAUAUAUUAAAGAAAAUUAAAUGAAUAAAAAUUAAAUAUUUAGGCCAAAAUUUAUUUAUAUUAUACAAAAUAUUUGUCAGUCAUACAUAAAUUAAAUAAGAAUAAGUACUAGUAUUAAAUAAACCAAAUACACAAUAACCUGGUUUAUAUCAAUAAAUACAAUUUAUAUCUCAAACAUUAUAACUAAAUGAAUUUUGCUUGUUCC
ensembl:lncRNA